rnacentral:rRNA from 1 species
CCUACGGGAGGCAGCAGUGGGGAAUUUUCCGCAAUGGGCGAAAGCCUGACGGAGCGACGCUGCGUGAAGGAUGACGGCCUGCGGGUUGUAAACUUCUUUUCUCGAAGAAGAAUAAAUGACGGUAUUCGAGGAAUAAGCAUCGGCUAACUCUGUGCCAGCAGCCGCGGUAAGACAGAGGAUGCAAGUGUUAUUCGGAUUGAUUGGGCGUAAAGCGUCUGUAGGCGGUUUGGAAAGUCUUUUGUGAAAUUCUUCAGCUCAACUGGGGGUCCGCAAAAGAAACUUCUAGGCUUGAGGGAAGUAGAGGUACAGGGAAUUUCCGGUGGAGCGGUGAAAUGCGUAGAUAUCGGAAGGAACACCAAUAUGGCGAAGGCACUGUACUGGGCUUUACCUGACGCUAAGAGACGAAAGCUAAAGGAGUGAUUAGGAUUAGAUACCCUAGUAAUUUUAGCCGUAAACGAUGGAAACUCACUGCCGAGCCGGUAUUCGGAGCGGUGGUCAAGCUAACGCGUGAAGUUUCCCGCCUGGGGACUACGCAUGCAAAUGUGAAACUCAAAGGAAUUGACGGGGACCCGCACAAGCGGUGGAGUAUGUGGUUUAAUUCGAUGCAACGCGAAAAACCUUACCAAGGUUUGAAAUCAUUUCAAAACUCUUUGAAAGAAGAGCCUCCUUCGGGAUGGAAUGACAGGUGGUGCAUGGCUGUCGUCAGCUCGUGUUGUGAAAUGUCGAGUUAAGUCUCGUAACGAGCGCAACCCAUGUCUCUUGUUGCUCAUUGAGUGCUUAAGAGAGACUGCCGACCAACAUCGGAGGAAGGUGUGGAUGAUGUCAAGUCAGCAUGCCCCUUACAUCCUGGGCUACACACGUACUACAAUGGUAGGGACAAUGAGCUGCGAUCCUGCGAAGGCUAGCCAAUCUCAAAAACCCUAUCUCAGUUCGGAUUGUACUCUGCAACUCGAGUACAUGAAGGUGGAAUCGCUAGUAAUCGCUGGUCAGCUAUACAGCGGUGAAUACGUUCCCGGGUCUUGUACACACUGCCCGUCACACCAUGGAAGUCGAUCCUUCCCUAAGUCGUUACUCGAACCUUUUAGGACGAGGAUGCCGAAGGCAGGGUUGGUGACUAGGGUGAAGUCGUAACAAGGUAGCCGUACUGGAAGGUGUGGCUG